UACAGAGGGUGCAAACGUUGUUCGGAAUCACUGGGCAUAAAGCGUGCGCAGGCGGUUCGCAAAGUCUGAUGUGAAAGCCCCGGGCUCAACCUGGGAACUGCAUUGGAAACUAACGGGCUCGAGUGUGGCAGAGGGGGGUGGAAUUCCACGUGUAGCAGUGAAAUGCGUAGAGAUGUGGAGGAACACCGAUGGCGAAGGCAGCCCCCUGGGCUAACACUGACGCUCAGGCACGAAAGCGUGGGGAGCAAACAGG
rnacentral:rRNA from 1 species